rnacentral:tRNA from 1 species
GCGCCGGUGGUGUAAUGGCGUAGAGCAUUCCCACCCGCUCAGAGAGAGGUGCGGGUUCGAGUCCCGCCUGGCGCU